rnacentral:rRNA from 1 species
UGGGGAAUAUUGGACAAUGGGCGCAAGCCUGAUCCAGCCAUGCCGCGUGAGUGAUGAAGGCCUUAGGGUUGUAAAGCUCUUUCGCCAGGGACGAUAAUGACGGUACCUGGAUAAGAAGCCCCGGCUAACUUCGUGCCAGCAGCCGCGGUAAUACGAAGGGGGCUAGCGUUGUUCGGAUUUACUGGGCGUAAAGCGCACGUAGGCGGAUUUUUAAGUCAGGGGUGAAAUCCCGAGGCUCAACCUCGGAACUGCCCUUGAUACUGGAAGUCUMGAGUCCGGGAGAGGUGAGUGGAACUGCGAGUGUAGAGGUGAAAUUCGUAGAUAUUCGCAAGAACMCCAGUGGCGAAGGCGGCUCACUGGCCCGGUACUGACGCUGAGGUGCGAAAGCGUGGGGAGCAAACAGGAUUAGAUMCCCUGGUAGUCCACGCCGUAAACGAUGGAUGCUAGCCGUUGGGGAGCUUGCUCUUCAGUGGCGCAGCUAACGCUUUAAGCAUCCCGCCUGGGAGACG